rnacentral:lncRNA from 1 species
AGCUGAAGCUGCAAGUCCUGAUAAGAAGGCCUUGCUUCACUCACAAUGCUGUGGAGUGCUUGCACUGGGCCUUAGAACGCAGCACUCAAGACAAGACUUGAACCUUUGAUGCGUCUGGAACUAGACCCUCAAAGCAGGAGAAACGGGCCUCCUCUGUAACUCAUCAAGAAGCCAGUGAUGCGUUUGUAUUGUAUAGCAGUUUUCUUUGAGAUUGCAACCUCCUAAGGCAGGAAAUGUUUACAGGGAAGUAGAAUAACAGAAUUUCUAAAGGGAAGUGAAAUAACCGCAGGGAAACUUAAGACGGGAAAUGAGUGGCUCGAACAGCUUCGGGGGGUUCUUGAAACUGACCAGAUUCACCAGGACAGUCCUCUCCAAGAGUGGAUAAGCAGUGAAGACCUCUGAGAGUCGCUCUCAGACAAGCCCAGUCACCCAGAAGAAGCAGAGAUCUGCUGAGCUGCCUGGAAGAUGCUCAGGCUGCUGACUGGUGCACCUGAAAAGGACACUCUCCAGCCUUCUGAGGACACAAGGAUUCAUGUACGGCCUCAAAUCCAUGCCUGCAAUAGCAGGGACAAGAAGGUGUCUGUGGAGUUCCAGAGAGUGACUUGGGGCACAGAUUAUGAAUAAUGGUGAAAGUAUUGGAAAAAGCCGUGAACAGCCCAAGAGGGUCUGUCACUGGACGAGUUCCAAGGAGCUCAGGAUCAAAGGUCAUAUCAUAUCCUUAGGGUCAAAGGUGUAGACACCUAAGUUCUAAGAAGUGCAGCACCAGCCAUUCUAAGUGCUAAAACUCAAGAUCUAUAAUGCUAACUGUGGCUGAGAACCACUGCAGGGCUGGCUGCUGUUACCUCUAUCUGAGCUAAGAGGAUUAAGUAUGGCAGGUGCCAGGCCAUGGGCAAUCAAAGCCCACAGAUGUAGGUCUGAGCACCUACAUCUGUAAGUCUUUGGCCUCUAGAGUCUGGAUUGUAUUCCCCUAGUUUUCAGGGGUUGGUAUUGUAAGUCCCAGUGACUAUUGGCUUGUAGUACAGUGUUUUUUUUUUUGUUUUUGUUUUUUUUUUUGGUAUGUGCCUGGAAUCCCUGAUCUCUUUAAGACUUUUAACAUGAAGGAGUGUUGGUUUUUGUCAAAGGCUUUUUCAGCAUCUAGUGAGAUUAUCAUGUGAUUUUUUUUUCUUUCAGUUUGUUUGUAGAGUGGAUUAAGUGAGGUAACCGAGACCCAAAAGGACAUGCAUGAUAUUAUAAGUGAAUAUUAGGCAUAGAGUUCAGAAUAACCAUGAGAUACCCCACAGACCCAACGAAGUUAAACAAGAAGGAAGGCCCAAGUGAGGAUACCUGAUUCUAAGUAAGAAUCACACUUAGAAGGGGGAAAAAUAGUCAUAGGAGGCAGAUAGGAGGGGAAGCUGGGUGAGAGAGGGGAAGGAGAAAGGAGUGAGGGGGAGAUUCAGGUGCGCAGAGAGACAGGAGAGAG